UGGUGGGUAGUUUGACUGGGGCGGUCUCCUCCCAAAGCGUAACGGAGGAGCACGAAGGUUAGCUAAUCCUGGUCGGACAUCAGGAGGUUAGUGCAAUGGCAUAAGCUAGCUUGACUGCGAGCGUGACGGCGCGAGCAGGUGCGAAAGCAGGUCAUAGUGAUCCGGUGGUUCUGAAUGGAAGGGCCAUCGCUCAACGGAUAAAAGGUACUCCGGGGAUAACAGGCUGAUACCGCCCAAGAGUUCAUAUCGACGGCGGUGUUUGGCACCUCGAUGUCGGCUCAUCACAUCCUGGGGCUGAAGUAGGUCCCAAGGGUAUGGCUGUUCGCCAUUUAAAGUGGUACGCGAGCUGGGUUUAGAACGUCGUGAGACAGUUCGGUCCCUAUCUGCCGUGGGCGCUGGAGAAUUGAGGGGGGCUGCUCCUAGUACGAGAGGACCGGAGUGGACGCAUCACUGGUGUUCGGGUUGUCAUGCCAAUGGCACUGCCCGGUAGCUAAAUGCGGAAGAGAUAAGUGCUGAAAGCAUCUAAGCACGAAACUUGCCCCG
rnacentral:rRNA from 6 species